rnacentral:rRNA from 1 species
AUUGAACGCUGGCGGCAGGCCUAACACAUGCAAGUCGAACGAGUGGCGGACGGGUGAGUAAUGUCUGGGAAACUGCCUGAUGGAGGGGGAUAACUACUGGAAAAGGUAGCUAAUACCGCAUACCAUCAGAUGUGCCCAGAUGGGAGUAGCUUGUUGGUGGGGUAACGGCUCACCAAGGCGACGAUCCCUAGCUGGUCUGUGAGGAUGACAGGCCACCCUGGAGCUGAGACACGAUCCAGACUCUGACGGGAGGCAGCGGUGGGGAAUCUUUCACAAAGGGCGAGAUCCUGGUUCGCCCAGGGCGCGUGUAUGAAUAAGGCCUUCUGGUUGUAAAGUACUUUCAGCGGGGAGGCGUUACCCGCAGAAGAAGCACCGGCUAACUCCGUGCCAGCAGCCGCGGUAAUUC